rnacentral:rRNA from 1 species
CCUACGGGGGGCUGCAGUGAGGAAUAUUGGUCAAUGGGCGCGAGCCUGAACCAGCCAAGUCGCGUGAGGGAGGACGGCCCUACGGGUUAUAAACCUCUUUUGCCGGGGAGCAACGGGCGUCACGUGUGGCGCCACUGAGAGUACCCGGAGACAAAGCAUCGGCUAACUCCGUGCCAACAGCCGCGGUAAUACGGAGGAUGCGAGGGUUUUCCGGAUUUAUUGGGUUUAAAGGGUGCGUAGGCGGAUCGUUAAGUCAGUGGGCAAAGUGAGGGGCUCAACCCCUUCCCGCCAUUGAAACUGGCGCUCUUGAGUGGAAGAGAGGUAUGCGGAAUGCGGGGCGUAGCGGUGAAAUGCAUAGAUAUCACGCAGAACCCCGAUUGCGAAGGCAGCAUGCCGGCUUCCGACUGACGCUGAAGCACGAAAGCGUGGGGAUCGAACAGGAUUAGAUACCCGGGUAGUC